rnacentral:rRNA from 1 species
GCAAGUCGAACGCGAAAGGGGAGCAAUCCCUGAGUAGAGUGGCAAACGGGUGAGUAACACGUGGGUGACCUGCCUCAGAGUGGGGGAUAACGUCCCGAAAGGGACGCUAAUACCGCAUAACAUCCUGCCUUUGGAAAGGCGGAGAUCAAAGCCGGGGAUCGCAAGACCUGGCGCUUGGGGAGGGGCCCGCGUCCGAUUAGCUAGUUGGUGAGGUAACGGCUCACCAAGGCUCCGAUCGGUAUCCGGCCUGAGAGGGCGGACGGACACACUGGAACUGAGACACGGUCCAGACUCCUACGGGAGGCAGCAGUGGGGAAUUGUUCGCAAUGGGCGAAAGCCUGACGACGCAACGCCGCGUGGAGGAUGAAGAAUUUCGGUUCGUAAACUCCUUUCGACCGAGAUGAAUACCCAUGGACCUAACACGUCUGUGGGCUGACAGUAUCGAGAGAAGAAGCCCCGGCUAACUCUGUGCCAGCAGCCGCGGUAAUACAGGGGGGGCAAGCGUUGUUCGGAAUUACUGGGCGUAAAGGGUUCGUAGGUGGCCACUUAAGUCAGACGUGAAAUCCCUCAGCUUAACUGGGGAACUGCGUCUGAUACUGAGUGGCUUGAGUGCAGGAGAGGAAUGCGGAAUUCCAGGUGUAGCGGUGAAAUGCGUAGAUAUCUGGAGGAACACCGGUGGCGAAGGCGGCAUUCUGGACUGUAACUGACACUGAAGAACGAAAGCCAGGGG